CACUCUAUUCUCCCUACACCCCACCUGCACCGGAACUUUACCUCAUUUCCCUCCAAACCCGCUUCCCACGGCUAUAAAACAAUCAACAACCCCGCGUAUUUCAAAAUUCUCUCUUCUCUCUCUCAAAUACUGAAGAUCAGCAGUUUCAAUGGAGGAAUUGUUUCAGUACAUGAAGACCCUGCGCUCUCAGAUCAACGAUGUGGCGGAUCACGCAGCUAAAAUGUCCGUGGAAGAGCAUAUGCAGAAAACUACUAUUGAGACUCUCCAAAAGGAUCUUGAUUCAGUGAGGAAUGAUAGUAAGCAAGUCAAGGAGGAAGCUGAUCGGAUAGCUAAAGCCACGGGGGAGAUCUGCUUGCAGAUUCUGCAAAAACAGAGGAAAAUUGCUUCUUAUGAAGCUGAUUCUUACACCCUAAGUAAGACUUUGGAGCUAAUGCAACAGGAAAGACUGAGCCUGUCAGCAAAACUUGUGGAACGAAGUGCACAUUAUAAGAAGGUUACUGAGGAUAUCAGUGGACAGCUAAAUGAACAACAGAAGUGGGUCAAAACUCAGAAUUUUAGCUCAAAAACCGGAGAUCACUUGGUAAAUGAAAAUAGCAACGGAAUAAAAGAGUUCCCAGAUGGUGUUGACGAAAGCAUUAUGAUGGAUUUUCAAGCUGCUCAGGCCAAGUUCGAUGAAAUAAAGCAACUAAAAUCAGAUCUUGUUUUGGAGAAUACUAAGCUGAGGCAGUCUGUUGAGCUAGUGAAGGCUAAGAUGACAAACUUUAAGGUGACUUCCGAUAGUGUGUAUACUUCUAUUCCUUAUCUAUCUUCUAAUGAUUGUGUACCUACUGUUCUGGAAUAUAAUGUUCUUUGGCUAAUGAGGUUAUCUGAGUUACAUUGGUUUAUCGGCAGCGCACUCAAUGAACAAACAAAGAAACAAACUGAUAUUUUCCUUUUUAUAUGUUCUUAAUAUCUGAUGAUGAUGCUGAGUGAUUCCAGCCAGAACUUAGGGAGAUGAGCGAGAAAACCUUGGAGGAGGAGGUUCAGGCACUCUUAUCCGACAAAGCUGGAGAAGCUGAGUAUAUGGAAUCCCUUCAGCUUCAGAUUAUGAGAUUGAAAGAAAUCUCAAACAAUGUGAGGUGCUCCUG